CUGCCCUUGGGUUCGGAAUAACAGUUAGAAAUGACUGCUAAUACCGGAUGAUGUCUUCGGACCAAAGAUUUAUCGCCCAGGGAUGAGCCCGCGUAGGAUUAGGUAGUUGGUGGGGUAAGAGCCUACCAAGCCGACGAUCCUUAGCUGGUCUGAGAGGAUGAUCAGCCACACUGGGACUGAGACACGGCCCAGACUCCUACGGGAGGCAGCAGUGGGGAAUAUUGGACAAUGGGCGAAAGCCUGAUCCAGCAAUGCCGCGUGAGUGAUGAAGGCCUUAGGGUCGUAAAGCUCUUUUACCCGGGAUGAUAAUGACAGUACCGGGAGAAUAAGCUCCGGCUAACUCCGUGCCAGCAGCCGCGGUAAUACGGAGGGAGCUAGCGUUGUUCGGAAUUACUGGGCGUAAAGCGCGCGUAGGCGGUUAUUCAAGUCAGAGGUGAAAGCCCGGGGCUCAACCCCGGAACUGCCUUUGAAACUAGAUGACUAGAAUCUUGGAGAGGUCA
rnacentral:rRNA from 1 species